rnacentral:rRNA from 1 species
UACGUAGGGUGCGAGCGUUGUCCGGAAUUAUUGGGCGUAAAGAGCUUGUAGGCGGUUUGUCGCGUCUGCUGUGAAAUCUCAAGGCUCAACCUUGAGCUUGCAGUGGGUACGGGCAGACUAGAGUGUGGUAGGGGAGACUGGAAUUCCUGGUGUAGCGGUGAAAUGCGCAGAUAUCAGGAGGAACACCGAUGGCGAAGGCAGGUUGCUGGGCUGACACUGACGCUGAGGCGCGAAAGCUAGGGGAGCGAACGGG